AUUGAACGCUGGCGGAAUGCUUUACACAUGCAAGUCGAACGGCAGCACGGACUUCGGUCUGGUGGCGAGUGGCGAACGGGUGAGUAAUGUAUCGGAACGUGCCCAGUCGUGGGGGAUAACGUAGUGAAAAUUACGCUAAUACCGCAUACGAUCGAUGGAUGAAAGCGGGGGAUCGCAAGACCUCGCGCGAUUGGAGCGGCUGAUAUCAGAUUAGGUAGUUGGUGGGGUAAAGGCCCACCAAGCCAACGAUCUGUAGCUGGUCUGAGAGGACGACCAGCCACACUCGAACUGAGACACGGUCCAGACUCCUACGGGAGGCAGCAGUGGGGAAUUUUGGACAAUGGGCGAAAGCCUGAUCCAGCCAUUCCGCGUGCAGGAUGAAGGCCCUCGGGUUGUAAACUGCUUUUGUACAGAACGAAAAGGUUUCUACUAAUACUAGGAGCUCAUGACGGUACUGUAAGAAUAAGCACCGGCUAACUACGUGCCAGCAGCCGCCGUAA
rnacentral:rRNA from 1 species